rnacentral:rRNA from 1 species
AUUGAACGCUGGCGGCAUGCCUUACACAUGCAAGUCGAACGGUAACAGCACUUCGGUGGCUGACGAGUGGCGAACGGGUGAGUAAUACAUCGGAACGUGCCCGAGAGUGGGGGAUAACGCAGCGAAAGCUGUGCUAAUACCGCAUACGAUCUACGGAUGAAAGCAGGGGACCGCAAGGCCUUGCGCUCACGGAGCGGCCGAUGGCAGAUUAGGUAGUUGGUGGGAUAAAAGCUUACCAAGCCGACGAUCUGUAGCUGGUCUGAGAGGACGACCAGCCACACUGGGACUGAGACACGGCCCAGACUCCUACGGGAGGCAGCAGUGGGGAAUUUUGGACAAUGGGCGAAAGCCUGAUCCAGCCAUGCCGCGUGCAGGAUGAAGGCCUUCGGGUUGUAAACUGCUUUUGUACGGAACGAAAAGGUCUUUUCUAAUAAAGAAGGCUCAUGACGGUACCGUAAGAAUAAGCACCGGCUAACUACGUGCCAGCAGCCGCGGUAAUACGUAGGGUGCAAGCGUUAAUCGGAAUUACUGGGCGUAAAGCGUGCGCAGGCGGUUAUAUAAGACAGAUGUGAAAUCCCCGGACUCAACCUGGGAACUGCAUUAGUGACUGUAUAGCUAGAGUGCGGCAGAGGGGGAUGGAAUUCCGCGUGUAGCAGUGAAAUGCGUAGAUAUGCGGAGGAACACCGAUGGCGAAGGCAAUCCCCUGGGCCUGCACUGACGCUCAUGCACGAAAGCGUGGGGAGCAAACAGGAUUAGAUACCCUGGUAGUCCACGCCCUAAACGAUGUCAACUGGUUGUUGGGAAUUUACUUUCUCAGUAACGAAGCUAACGCGUGAAGUUGACCGCCUGGGGAGUACGGCCGCAAGGUUAAAACUCAAAGGAAUUGACGGGGACCCGCACAAGCGGUGGAUGAUGUGGUUUAAUUCGAUGCAACGCGAAAAACCUUACCCACCUUUGACAUGUAUGGAAGAUCGCAGAGACGCGAUUGUGCUCGAAAGAGAGCCAUAACACAGGUGCUGCAUGGCUGUCGUCAGCUCGUGUCGU